CAGCCGCCGCGGGAAUACGUAGGGUGCGAGCGUUAAUCGGAAUUACUGGGCGUAAAGCGUGCGCAGGCGGUUCGUUAAGACAGAUGUGAAAUCCCCGGGCUUAACCUGGGAACUGCAUUUGUGACUGGCGAGCUAGAGUAUGGCAGAGGGGGGUAGAAUUCCACGUGUAGCAGUGAAAUGCGUAGAGAUGUGGAGGAAUACCGAUGGCGAAGGCAGCCCCUUGGGCCAAUACUGACGCUCAUGCACGAAAGCGUGGGGAGCAAACAGGAUUAGAGACCCGCGUAGUCCCUGUCUCUUAUAA
rnacentral:rRNA from 1 species